rnacentral:rRNA from 1 species
UGGGGAAUUUUGGACAAUGGGGGCAACCCUGAUCCAGCCAUGCCGCGUGUGUGAAGAAGGCCUUCGGGUUGUAAAGCACUUUUGUUCGGAACGAAACGGCUGAAGCGAAUAACUUCAGCUAAUGACGUACCGAAGAA